rnacentral:tRNA from 1 species
AGUAAGGUCAGCUAAGUAAGCUUUCGGGCCCAUACCCCGAACAUGUUGGUUAAAGUCCUUCCCCUGCUA